UAGUGGGACGGCCGGGGAGGGACUGCUUGUGGAGUCUGGGGUUCCGCAGCGUGGGUGGAGCCCGGCGGUUCCUCUCCGCCUCCAGUGAC
rnacentral:tRNA from 1 species